UACCUGCAGCUCUAGUGGUGAUCGCUAUUAUUGGGCCUAAAACGUCCGUAGCCGGCUUAUUAAAUGCCUGGGUAAAUCGUGUAGCUUAACUAUACGAAUUCCGGGUAGACUGAUAGGCCUGAGACCGGGAGAAGCUAGAGGUACUCCUGGGGUAGAGGUGAAAUUCUGUAAUCCUAGGGGGACCACCAGUGGCGAAGGCGCCUAGCUAGAACGGGUCUGACGGUGAGGGACGAAGCCCUGGGGCGCAAACCGGAUUAGAUACCCGGGUAGUCCAGGGUGUAAACGCUGCUUGCUUGAUGUUAGUUGGGCUCUGAGCCCAAUUAGUGUCGGAGAGAAGUUGUUAAGCAAGCUGCCUGGGGAAGUACGGUCGCAAGACUGAAACUUAAAGGAAUUGGGCGGGGGAGCACAGCAACGGGUGGAGCGUGCGGUUU
rnacentral:rRNA from 1 species